UCCAGUCGCAAGACCUGGAAGUGGCUUCGCAGGGUCGCCCUUCCUGCCCGUCGCGGUUGGAAGGGACCAUUUAGCUUGAGAAAUCUCCGCUGGCCUCUACCUCCCCUGGGGUUUCCUUUUCUACACUGGCAGAGCUCAGGGCAGGCGGGGUAGUGGCGUCAUCACAACAAGCGUAAUCAUUGCAAACGGCCCUUUGGAGGCGUGACGGGCCUUCUCAGGCUUUAGUGCCUCUCACUUCGACUGUUUCAGCCCUCAAAAAGCUCGCUGAGUGAAUAGCGCUAUGCUGGACAUGCACAGUCUCGGUUCCAGCCGCAGCUGAGUGAUGAUGCAUGCUGGAGGAUGGGGAUGGGGAGCUUAUUACAUACACUUGUGACUGUUAGGCUCUUCUUGGAUGAGUUGCAAGUUAAAAUUACCAGUGCUUCCU